rnacentral:rRNA from 1 species
UGGGGAAUUUUGGACAAUGGGCGAAAGCCUGAUCCAGCAAUGCCGCGUGCAGGAAGAAGGCCUUCGGGUUGUAAACUGCUUUUGUACGGAACGAAAAGGCUCUUUCUAAUAAAGAGGGCCCAUGACGGUACCGUAAGAAUAAGCACCGGCUAACUACGUGCCAGCAGCCGCGGUAAUACGUAGGGUGCGAGCGUUAAUCGGAAUUACUGGGCGUAAAGCGUGCGCAGGCGGUUCUAUAAGACAGAUGUGAAAUCCCCGGGCUCAACCUGGGAAUGGCAUUUGUGACUGUAGAGCUAGAGUACGGUAGAGGGGGAUGGAAUUCCGCGUGUAGCAGUGAAAUGCGUAGAUAUGCGGAGGAACACCGAUGGCGAAGGCAAUCCCCUGGACCUGUACUGACGCUCAUGCACGAAAGCGUGGGGAGCAAACA